rnacentral:rRNA from 1 species
ACGAACGCUGGCGGCGUGCUUAACACAUGCAAGUCGAACGGGAUCCAUCCAGUGGCAACACUGGUGAAGAUCUAGUGGCGAACGGGUGAGUAACACGUGAGAAACCUGCCCCGGUCUCUGGAAUAACAGGUGGAAACACCUGCUAAUACCGGAUGCCGUCGGACCAUCGCAUGGUGGACCGACGAAAGAUUCAUCGGAUCGGGAGGGUCUCGCGGCCUAUCAGCUUGUUGGUGGGGUAACGGCCUACCAAGGCGUCGACGGGUAGCUGGUCUGAGAGGAUGAUCAGCCACACUGGGACUGAGACACGGCCCAGACUCCUACGGGAGGCAGCAGUGGGGAAUCUUGCGCAAUGGGCGAAAGCCUGACGCAGCAACGCCGCGUGCGGGAAGAAGGCUCUCGGGUUGUAAACCGCUUUCAGAAGGAACGAAACUGACGGUACUUUCAGAAGAAGGUGCGGCCAACUACGUGCCAGCAGCCGCGGUGACACGUAGGCACCAAGCGUUGUCCGGAUUUACUGGGCGUAAAGAGCUCGUAGGCGGUUCAGUAAGUCGGGUGUGAAAACUCUGGGCUCAACCCAGAGACGCCACCCGAUACUGCUGUGACUUGAGUACGGUAGGGGAGCAGGGAAUUCCUGGUGUAGCGGUGAAAUGCGCAGAUAUCAGGAGGAACACCGGUGGCGAAGGCGCUGCUCUGGGCCGAAACUGACGCUGAGGAGCGAAAGCGUGGGUAGCAAACAGGAUUAGAUACCCCUGGUAGUCACUGCCCGUAAACGAUGGAAUGCUUAGGUGUGGCGGGUAUAACGGAGUCCGCUGCCGUGCCGAGCUAACGCAUUAAGCAUGCCCGCCUGGGGAGUACGGCCGCAAGGCUUAAACUCAAAGGAAUUGACGGGGGCCCGCACAAGCAGCGGAGCAGUGUGGUUCAAUUCGACGCAACGCGAAGAACCUUACCCUGGGCUUGACAUGCUGAGUGACAAACGCCGUAGAUACGGAGUCUUCCGCAGGACCAGCUACAGGUGGCUGCAUGGCUGUCGUCAGCUCGUGUCGUGAGAUGUUGGGUUAAGUCCCGCAACGAGCGCAACCCUUGUCCUCUGUUGCCAGCAGGUAAUGCGGGGCACUCUGCAGGAGACUGCCGGGGAUAAACUCGGAGGAAGGUGGGGAUGACGUCAAGUCAUCAUGCCCUUAUAUCAUGGGCUGCAACACUGCUACAAUGGCCGGUACAAACCGGCUGCGAGUACCGGAGGAUCGAGCGAAUCCCACAAAGCCGGUCUCAGUUCGGAUAGGCAGUCUGCAACUCGCCUGCAUUGAAGUUGGAAGUCGCUAGUAAUCCCGGAUCAGCACGCCGCGGGUGAAUACGUUCCCGGGCCUUGUACACACCGCCCGUCACAUCACGAAAGUCGGUUAACUACCGAAGUCGGCUAGCAUCAACCGCAAGGGAAGGAGCCGUCGAAGGUAGGGUCGGUGAUUGGGGUG